rnacentral:rRNA from 1 species
GACGAACGCUGGCGGCGUGCUUAACACAUGCAAGUUGAACGGAAAGGCCCUGCUUUUGUGGGGUGCUCGAGUGGCGAACGGGUGAGUAACACGUGAGUAACCUGCCCUUGACUUUGGGAUAACUUCAGGAAACUGGGGCUAAUACCGGAUAGGAGCUCCUGCUGCAUGGUGGGGGUUGGAAAGUUUCGGCGGUUGGGGAUGGACUCGCGGCUUAUCAGCUUGUUGGUGGGGUAGUGGCUUACCAAGGCUUUGACGGGUAGCCGGCCUGAGAGGGUGACCGGCCACAUUGGGACUGAGAUACGGCCCAGACUCCUACGGGAGGCAGCAGUGGGGAAUAUUGCACAAUGGGCGGAAGCCUGAUACAGCAACGCCGCGUGCGGGAUGACGGCCUUCGGGUUGUAAACCGCUUUCGCCUGUGACGAAGCGUGAGUGACGGUAAUGGGUAAAGAAGCACCGGCUAACUACGUG